ensembl:lncRNA
GGUGUUAUAAUGUUUCAGUAUGGUGUUAUAAUGUUUCAGUAUGGUGUUAUGAUGUUUCAGUAUGGUGUUAUGAUGUUUCAGUAUGGUGUUAUGAUGUUUCAGUAUGGUGUUAUAAUGUUUCAGUAUGGUGUUAUAAUGUUUCAGUAUGGUGUUAUAAUGUUUCAGUAUGGUGUUAUGAUGUUUCAGUAUGGUGUUAUGAUGUUUCAGUAUGGUGUUAUAAUGUUUCAGUAUGGUGUUAUAAUGUUUCAGUAUGGUGUUAUGUUUCAGUAUGGUGUUAUGAUGUUUCAGUAUGAACAACAGGCCCGACUCAUUAUUUCCACAUGGUUGUCUCUGCUCACCUAUGGGGAUGACGGCAGGUAGGUGGGUGUGGCUCGCAGGA